rnacentral:rRNA from 1 species
GAUGAACGCUGGCGGCGUGCUUAACACAUGCAAGUCGAGCGGACGGACGAGAACCGUGCUUCUCUGAUGUCAGAGGGGGACGGGAGAGUAACAUGUGCAUCACCUAACUCUGAGACAAGGAUAGCAUACUGAAACUGAUGCCGAUUACGGAUGCACUUUUGAACCGCAUGGUUCAAAAGUGUACGACGGAUUUGCUGUCACCUACAGAUGGAGCCGUGCUGCAUUAGCUGGUUGGUCAGGUAACGGCUUAACAGGGGGACUAUGGGUAGCCGACCUGAGAGGGUGGUCGGCGGCACUAGAGGUUAGACACGGUCCAGGCUCCUACGGUAGGCAGCAGUAGGGAAUGUGCCGCAAUGGGCGAGAGCCUGACGGAGCAGCGCCGCGUGUGUGAUGGAGGUCUUCGGAUCGUAAAACUCGGUUAUUGGUUGAGAACAUAUGUGUAAGGAGCUGAGCACAUCUUGACGGUACCUAGUCAAAAAGCCACGGCUAACUACGUU